rnacentral:rRNA from 1 species
ACACGGAGGGUGCAAGCGUUAUUCGGAAUCACUGGGCGUAAAGGACGCGUAGGCGGGUUGGCAAGUCAGAUGUGAAAUCCUACAGCUUAACUGUAGAACUGCAUUUGAAACUGCUAACCUAGAGUAUGGGAGGGGGAGAUGGAAUUAGUGGUGUAGGGGUAAAAUCCGUAGAUAUCACUAGGAAUACCGAAAGCGAAGGCGAUCUCCUGGAACAUAACUGACGCUAAGGCGUGAAAGCGUGGGGAGCAAACAGGAUUAGAUACCCCAGUAGUCC